rnacentral:piRNA from 1 species
UAUUCAAGACACCUGCAGACCGG